GAAGCCUUCACAAAAAAGACAAUAAAUUCUUCAACCCAGACCCACUACGCAUGCAGAGCAGGGAAGGGUCUGCAUGCUUUGGGGCUAUAGGGUUUGAUUUCCCACACGUCAAUUUGGCACCCCAGAUGGGACCUGCUCUGUUUGGCUGUGGGAUCAGUUGAGAGAGGGGACGCCUUUGGCGCGCCCAAGAUUUCUCUGAAGGACUUCCUUUUGUCAUCCGAUCACUGCGGGAGCAGACAAGGACCAUCAGCGGACCAAGUUUACAAGACACUUACUUCCAAGGGGAGCAGCUGAGAAGUAAGAAGAUGUUAAGAGUGGUGGUCAGGAAAGGGAUUAGAGGAGAAAACUGAGCUUGCCUGGUAGAAGAAAUAACGAAGAUAUUUGUGCAGAUAUGUGUCACUUUCAUUAUGAUGAUCAUAUCUAAGCCUCUAUUUUUUUUUCUGAUUUGUUUGCUUCACUUUUCAGUUGUUUCUGAGGGGAAAGGGCAAAACUUUGUCCUUUCACAGGUUUGUAUAAAGUUUGGUUAACUUUGAAAGACACUGAAGCACCAGAGCAGAGUAAAAUAUCCUUCUCAUUUUUUUGACACUGAACAAGCUCAGACUAUAGGAAAAGCAUAUUUAAAUCUUCAAAUAUAGGGACUGUCUGUGUGAAUUUGGGGUUGUUCUAUGAACGCUCAAAACCUAUAUAUAGAGAAUAGGCUGCUGGAUGUGAAGUUCCAGUAUUUCUGAUAUGAAUAUAUACAUCACUGAAGCCUUUUUGCUACACAGAGUCACGGCUGUACACGUUAAAAUAUAGAUGCACACCUUACCUGUAAAUAUGCUGUAUUUGGGAAGCUCUUAGCACUUAGUGAAAUACUGGAGCUUGGUACAUGAUUACAUAUAAUACUGAACAACAUAAAAGAAAAGAAAAUCUAUACGUCUAUAGCUGUGAUUACUCCUUGUACUCGAAACCCAGUUGGGAGAUGUAGGUUUCCAUGGAACACAGCAGUUUAUUGGUAAGGCAGAAUAUCCUACUUCGAGUUAGAAUUGCUAGUGAUCCACAGCCUGCGUUUGUUUCCAGAGGGACUUGAAGAGCUGUUUUAAGCUUUCAGCUUUUACUCAUCUACAAGAGCUGUUUACAAACUUCUUACUGAUGAUUUAUCAAUAUGGGAAUUCACAUCCUGACUUGUCCAAAGUAAUCUAUCUUCAAACAGGCCAGAACUUUCCAUCUGUCAAAGGAAUAGGAGACAUGCAAAAAAAAAAAAAAAAAAAAAAAAAAAAAAAGGGAAA